rnacentral:rRNA from 1 species
GACGAACGCUGGCGGCGUGCUUAACACAUGCAAGUCGAACGGCAAGGCCCUGCUUUUGUGGGGUGCUCGAGUGGCGAACGGGUGAGUAACACGUGAGUAACCUGCCCUUGACUUUGGGAUAACUUCAGGAAACUGGGGCUAAUACCGGAUAGGAGCUCCUGCUGCAUGGUGGGGGUUGGAAAGUUUCGGCGGUUGGGGAUGGACUCGCGGCUUAUCAGCUUGUUGGUGGGGUAGUGGCCUACCAAGGCUUUGACGGGUAGCCGGCCUGGGAGGGUGACCGGCCACAUGGGGACUGCGGUAGGGCCCAGACUCCAACGGGAGGCAGCAGGGGGGAAUAUUGCACAAUGGGAGGAAGCCUGAUGAAGCAACGCCGCGGGCGGGAUGACGGCCUUCGGGUUGUAAACAGCUGCCGCCUGGGACGAAGCGGGAGUGACGGUAAUGGGUAAAGAAGCACCGGCUAACUACGUG